GGGGGAAUAUUGGGCAAUGGGCGCAAGCCUGACCCAGCAACGCCGCGUGAAGGAAGAAGGCCCUCGGGUUGUAAACUUCUUUUAUUCGGGACGAAGAAGUGACGGUACCGAAUGAAUAAGCCACGGCUAACUACGUGCCAGCAGCCGCGGUAAUACGUAGGUGGCAAGCGUUAUCCGGAUUUACUGGGUGUAAAGGGCGUGUAGGCGGGACUGCAAGUCAGAUGUGAAAACCAUGGGCUCAACCCAUGGCCUGCAUUUGAAACUGUAGUUCUUGAGUGAUGGAGAGGCAGGCGGAAUUCCGUGUGUAGCGGUGAAAUGCGUAGAUAUACGGAGGAACACCAGUGGCGAAGGCGGCCUGCUGGACAUUAACUGACGCUGAGGCGCGAAAGCGUGGGGAGCAAACAGGAUUAGAUACC
rnacentral:rRNA from 1 species